CCGCGCCCCAGCUGCAUUUCCGCCCGCUCUGGGAGGGAGGGUGGGUUUCUUUUGGUUCCUGCCGCCUCCCCGAGCGGUCCCGAACCUUCCAGCACCGUGCCGCACCUUCUCCGCGUCGUUCCCUUUGACCCCCGCCGACAACAGUCCCGGCGCCCCGGGCCGUGCGAGCUCUGCGGCUGUCUUGGAAGCAGAUGGAGACUGUCCCUUGGACGGCUUUGCGGGCCGAGCCGCAGGCAGCACCCCUUUCUGCCCCGCAGGACCGUGGUCCGCAGCGCCAGAUGCCCCCCCACCCCCGUGUGCAGGGCUGAGGCCUGCUGGGAGUGCUGCCUCGGAGCUGGAGAUUGCUGGAGGAAGCCUGAGUGGACGGAGGCACUGGCCCUCUCAGGACGACCCAGGCCCCAGCUGCCCUGGAGGGACCUCCUCAUGAUUAUGUCGGGGUUGAUCGUGGACACUGGAGUAGCAUGA
rnacentral:lncRNA from 1 species